rnacentral:rRNA from 1 species
UAGGGAAUUUUUCACAAUGAGUGAAAGCUUGAUGGAGCAAUGCCGCGUGAACGAUGAAGGUCUUUAAGAUUGUAAAGUUCUUUUAUUUGGGAAGAAUGACUUUAGCAGGUAAUGGCUAGAGUUUGACUGUACCAUUUUGAAUAAGUGACGACUAACUAUGUGCCAGCAGUCGCGGUAAUACAUAGGUCGCAAGCGUUAUCCGGAUUUAUUGGGCGUAAAGCAAGCGCAGGCGGAUUGAAAAGUCUGGUGUUAAAGGCAGCUGCUUAACAGUUGUAUGCAUUGGAAACUAUUAAUCUAGAGUGUGGUAGGGAGUUUUGGAAUUUCAUGUGGAGCGGUGAAAUGCGUAGAUAUAUGAAGGAACACCAGUGGCGAAGGCGAAAACUUAGGCCAUUACUGACGCUUAGGCCUGAAAGUGUGGGGAGCAAAUAGGAUUAGAUACCCUAGUAGUCCACACCGUAAACGAUAGAUACUAGCUGUCGGGGCGAUCCCCUCGGUAGUGAAGUUAACACAUUAAGUAUCUCGCCUGGGUAGUACAUUCGCAAGAAUG